rfam:Phycisphaerae bacterium SM-Chi-D1, complete genome.
GCCGGUGACCAUACUGUUGGGGAAACGCCUGAUCCCAUUCCGAACUCAGAAGCUAAGCCCAACCGGCCGAUGAUAGUCCCUUGGGCGAAAGUAGGUUAUCGCCGGCA